AGGAGGAUACUGGGUCCUAGAAGGAAGUCACUUGUCCACAGCUCAAACUACAGUCUUCAGUCUUUGAUAGCUUCCACGCAGGCUCGGCAUCUGCCACCCCUCAGCUGGCUGCUGUAGUUGUAGACCGAAUCUUCUCGUCUCAGAAAGGAUUUGGAGAUCUAUUCUGGGAAAAAUCCAUCAUAAAAAUCUCAGCACAGUGAUAUCGAGGUGUAAGGAUAGGUCUGGAUCUAGGGCUGAGAGCAACCAACACCUACGUUCUUCGCUCUUGAAGAAGGCACACAUGGAUGUAGGGUGCAGUUUGUACCUGGGGAUGGAUUCUCCCCUCCUCAUUCCCUAGCUCUAGCAACUGGAGCUUACAUUUCGGAUCCUGAAGGGAAAAGGCCAUGAGGAAGCACGCUCAGUCCUUCACAGCACAGACUGAAGACAGCUGCAGGCAGACGACCUAGGGAUAUUGUAACAGAUGCGUCCCUGGCAAAUUCUUUGAAGGGAAGCCAGUUUGCUGUGGACCAGAUGCCCAGGGUCAAGCAGAAGGAAGAGGCCAAGAGAAUGCAAGGUUGUGGUAUCGGCGAUCUGUUCUCUAGAACACCAGGACGCAAGCAGGCCCAUGCACACAGGUGGAGAAGGCAGAGAGGUGGAAAUGGAGAAAGGUGAACUGAAAACUCCCAUCCAGGAAUAAUAAUUUCCAACUCUGUGGAUUCAGUGGACAUGGAAGUACUUUACAAGGAGAAAAGGAAAGAAUUCUUCUCUGGAGAAACUGUUCCCAGAUUGGAGUUGGAGAUGCAACAGAAAAUUUAGAGGACACAUUGAAAACCCUCUUGAGAGAGGAGCAGAAAAGGAGACAAGAAGACAACAACCAUUAUAUGAAAAUCUGAGACUAAAGCCUGGGAGUCUGAGAUUCAGGAGGAAGAAACAGAGAAAAUGGUUGAAAGUGAAGAUAUGAAAGAUGAUACAAAAAAAACAAAAACAAAAAACAAAAAACAAACAAACACAAGGCGAAAGCAAAGGACAAGCUCCCAGAUUGCAGGAGCCAUCAGCAGCCCAGCACGAUGACACCAAGGAGGUACAACUGAGUCACUUUGAAAACACGACAUUAGACUUGGCAUCACUGGGCCCACAGGUAUGCAGAACAUAAACUCUUAUGGGACAAUUCCUGGAAAAGGAAGCCAUGCUGUCAUUAGUUGAGAAUAUUUGAAGCAGCUGAAGGACAGACAGUCUCCUGCACUACAGAAAAAUCUGGACAGGGCACCGAAGACAUCCACCAUUCCAACCCAACCACUUCCUUCUGUGUCAAGGUAGAGAAGCCUUGAAUGUAUUCAUUGCUCUCCUCAGCCUUUGAUUAAAGGUCCUCGUUAUACGUUAUACAUGCACACCA